GUUGAUAGGUCAGAGGUGUAAGUGUGGUAACAUAUUUAGCUGACUGAUACUAAUAGGUCGAGGGCUUGACCAA
rnacentral:rRNA from 1 species